rnacentral:lncRNA from 1 species
ACCAACUCACUGGAGUUGACCAUCAAAACUCUUUUCCAGGGCACACUCAGGCAUCGCAGAAAAUAAUAUGUAUUGUGGAAUCCCUCACUUGAUGAAUAAUCUAGAUGAUCAGAAAUGUGGCACUAUUUUGGCUUUCAGGUGGAAAAGCACCCUGAAUCCAGCUUCCUGCUAUGAAUGAAUACUGAGCUUGGGUUGGUGGAAAUUGAUUUUCGAGAUAACCUUUCUUAGCACCAACUGUGUACAUUGUGUACUGCCCUUUAGCCUUUGCGCUUUGCAGCCUAAUCCAAACCAACUGCUGAACGAGACACGCGUCUCCGCAGUCUCCGAGUCUUCAUGGCUUUGGUUGUUAAUCACUCUCAGCAAUAGCCAAAUCCCUUCCUCCACGCUGGUCUGUUCUCCCUAACUGAAAAUGCAAGUGAAGGUGGACGGUUUGCCGUUCUGAGGAGCCCCUUAUCAGUAAUAAUGUAGCAACUUCAGAAAAGUUAGCUGAGCAGCCUAGAGAAAUAAGCAAAGGCCAGAAUGUAGAAAGCCUUGACUCCAUGCUGCUUCAUGAGAACAGGGGUUCUUAGACCUAUCAGAGCAGCAGCACCUUUUGACAGCGAAUGCUUUCCAUCUUAUCAAAGGUGGUGUCACCUUUCUUCAAAGCAAUGCGGCUGAAACUCUCGACCAAGUUCUCCGCAGCUUCUUCAUCUUGCGGAUCUUCUCGCCCGGCUGCAGCUCAAAGAGGUGGCACCUCUGGGCAACGCAGGGCCCCGGCAACGUCCCCAAACUAGUGGAGAGCAGGCGCGCGCCAAGGCCUGCUCCUCCUCCACACGCCUUCGGCGGCUCAGGAGGUGGGGCGGCGGCGUCUUCCUUGGUGCCAGGCCUACGUAAGUUUUCCUUAAAGCCUAACUGACAAUUCCGCUUUUCCAUUAACGAAAACUAGAGAAAAUGCUAUUUCUAGGUUUGGGAUGGGCAAUGUACAAGAUGUGUCUGGAACACCUUGCCAUACCAGAUAAUGAGGAAGCUCUUGAAGACCACCAGGAUCAUGUUGAAAACACUCAGGGGUCACCUCGAAGAGGCUUCCACUGGCUGAUGAGGGGGAAAUUUGAGCUUCAAAAAGGAUAAUAAAUGUAAUCAUUAUGAAACCCAUCAAAUAAAUUGAAAUCCAUGACUUCAUAAUGAUACCUUAAAAAUUGAUCUCCUUCAGAGCAUAAUAGGGAAAUAAUCCAUUUUUUGUGAAAAUUAGUAAAUGAA